UCUGUGAAUACUAAUUUUAAAAGUGUAAUGAGUAUUUCUUUCCAACGCGUUGGAUAUGAUUUUACACUAGACUUUUUGGUUAUCGCUCUUGACUACUUGUUGAUAGUAAUAUUUUUCUUCGUUAGUUUUAGUAUUUAAAAAAAUAAAAUUACCAGUAUAAGCAGUAACUAAAAGUCAAAAGACUCAUUAUGAUAAGGUUUUAUCUUCUAAUUAUAUUACUACCACAUCAAAAGCUCUUAUUGCCAAGUUUAUCGCUUUAGCAUUCAUUGUUCUCUCGUAUUGGCCAAGCCACGUGGCUGAAGCGUGAUCGUUCUAACCUCACUUCUACUUUCAUACGUAAUAUCUUUUUACGCAGAAUGCUGCUUUCCCCCUUAUAUUUAAAGUCUCCAAAUUAUUUUCAAAUGAUAUAUUGAUAUUUGCUAAAAUCAAUUCAUGAAAUCUUAUCAUGCCCGCGUUAUGUGCAACUUUAUUAGUGGAAGUAGGGGAGAGGAAAGGAUAGAAGGAGGGAAAUGACACCGGAAAUGACGUGUUGCAUUCUGGAUUGUAUUUUCCAGGCCACGUUCUUUCACUUCGUUAAUACAAUAAACGCGUGUGUCUUAAACGGUCCAUUAUAAUAUUCAUUAGUAAGUGGUAUACAAUGAAUACAUAGAUUGAAAUAAUAAUAUUACAAGUUCUUAAUUGGAUAAACACGAUAGAACGAAGUGAUAGUGUUAUUCAAAGUAUAUAUGUUAUUAAUAGAAACUUCAUUAAAAAAUGAUAGGUUUUAAUAAAGUAAAAUAAAAAUUAGAUAGAAAUUGUGUUAUCGUUCAAAUUACAAAACUGUGGCCAUAAAUAAUUUUUCUUAGCAUUCUUUUCAAUUUUAUUUAUUUUUCAUCCAAGUAUUUGCAAUGUAUAGAAGUAAAAAUGUUUGAAUACUUCAUACUUGGAAAUAUUUAUGGCACUUGAUACGAUCCUGACGAUGGAGUUCGGCCUCGCCCCCCUUUCAUAGCAAUCAAUGCACUCACGGGAUCACAGAUGGCAGCACUGCUCCGGCCCCUGCCCACAUGUGCAAAGAUGGCCGUUUGCGAGGCCGUCUUCUCGGUUUCUUUGCUCACGUACUAUCCUUGCUGUCACUUCAUUGUUCUUUCAUUGUAAACAUAUAUUUGCGCAAAUAAGUAUAACUCUUAACUUGACUAAGCACAAUAUCCAGCUUUGUACUGAUCUGUAACGACGACGACGACGACAGCGAUGACGAUGACGAUGACGACGACGUGUCAAGCGAUGUCGUGCAAUUCCACGCAUAAUCGCUUUCACGAAUAAAUUCGUUUAACGACAGAAUGGCGAGCACAGUACAUCAGGACAACAUCGCCCAUAUGCGAACUUGAAUACUCGAGAAAAUUCGGGUUUUUUUUCUUUCUUUCUUGUUAACUGUAAAAUUUGGUUUUAAUUAAAAUGUGGUUUAUGAUUGAUAAUGAUAAUUACAGGAUGGGAGUUCUUCCCCGUGUUAAUUAAAUAUAUUUGAUAAUCACUCUCUAUAUACUUGCUCCAAUGAUGAAUAUUCGAAUAUGUACAUGAUAAAAGAAGCGUCAAGUUCGUACUUAAUAAAUAAAUAAAUAAAUAAAUAAAUAAUUUA